AACAUAAAGCAUUACCAAAGCAGCAGGAGCAGAGGAUGAUAUAAAAAUCUGAAGAUGCCCGAUUGCCGUCUCAUUAUCAUCUUUGGGCGUUAGAGUAAAGAACUCAUCCAUCAAACUUUUGAUAUGUUUUGAGGCGUAAGCAUGGCAAGGCAAUCCUGCUUUACAAAGCCGAGAAAUAAACGAUACCAUGUCAUCAAUUAGCUGAAAAGUCUGCGGGUGCUUGGUACUUCGCAUCCGCCCCACCAAAUUAAGCCCUGCGUCGUUCUGAAUUGAACACUCUGCCAGUGACUGCUCCCACUGGAGUUGCUUUCCCCGAUAAAUUAGCCUCUGCUCGAUAACCGGAAUUCCCGUGAU
rnacentral:misc_RNA from 1 species